CCCUUCCUCCAGACCAAAGGCACGUCUUUAUAGAGGAACUAGACGUUGAGAACCGUCUCACUGAGCUCUGUGAACAAGUCAAGCAGAGAGCGGAGAGCCCGGACGAGCUGGCAGAGCUGGUCAAUAUGAACCUGGCCCAGCUGUGUUCCCUCCUCAUGGCCCUGUGGGGUCAGUUCCUGGAGGUGGUCUCACUGCAGGAGAAUGUUGCUGCCCUGCUGGCUGUGGAGCAUCACACACUCAGAGUGAGUAGAU